UUUACAGAUGUUCCAGAUUCCAAAACAUUUGAUGUGACUUUGAUGACACUAUUACUGCGGUUUUUGACUCUGUUGACCCCUCCUCUUUGUGGAUUUGACCAUUUACCUUCUGCAAUGGAAAUGACACCAGCUGCAGAUUUAGCAAGGAUCAAACACUACAGAAAUUACCUGGCUCAUUUGGAUGAAGGCAAACUAGAAAUAGGGUUCUUCAAUACUGCUUGGAAUGAUAUAACUUGUGUACGUAUAUAUCAAUUUUUAGCUCACCUGGCCCGAAGGGCCAAGUGAGCUUUUCUCAUCACUUGGCGUCGGCGCCGGCGUCGUCCGGCGUCGUCCGGCGUCCGUCGUCCGUCGUCCGUCGUCGUUAAUUUUACAAAUCUCUCCUCUGAACUACUGGGCCAAAUUUACCAAACUUGGCAAUCAUCAUUGGGGUAUCUAGUUUAAAAAUGUGUUCGGUUCCCGGCAACCAACAAGAUGCGCCAUGGCUAAAUAAAGAACAUAGGGCAAUGCAGUUUUUUGCUUAUACUCUGAAACCAGCAUUUAGACAAAUCGACUGGGUUAAAUUGUUAUUAAGUCAGAUCUAUCUGCCCUAAAAUUUUCAGACGAAUCGGACAACCGUUGUUGGUUGCUGCCUGAAUUGGCAAUUUUAAGGAAAUUUUGCCGUAUAUGGUAUUUGAAUAUUAUUAUAGUAGAGAUAAACUGUAACAGCAAUAAUGUUCAGCAAAGUAAGAUCUACAAAUAAGUCAACAUGACCAAAAUGGUAAGUUGACCCCUUUAGGAGUUAUUGCCCUUUAUAGUCAAUUUUAACCACUUUUCGUAAAUCUUAGUAAUCUUUUACAAAAAUCUUCUCCUCUGAAACUACUGAGCCAAAUUAAUCCAAACUUGGCCACAAUCAUCUUUGGGGUAUCUUGUUUACAAAAUGUGUCCAGUGACCCGGCCAACCAACCAGAUGGCCGCCAUGGCUAAAAAUAGAACAUAGGGGUAAAAUGCAGUUUUUGGCUUAUAACUUAAAAACCAAAGCAUUUAGAGCAAAUCUGACAUUUAUAGAAAUUGUUUAUCAGGUCAAGAUCUAUCUACCCUGAAAUUUUCAGAUGAAUUGACAACCUAUUGUUGGGUUGCUGCCCUGAUUGUAAUUUUAAGGAAAUUUACUGUUUUUGUAUUAUCUUGAAAUUAUGAUGAAAUAAACUGUAAACAGCAAUAUGUUCAGCAAAGUAAGAUUUACAAAUAAGUCAACAUGACCGAAUGGUCAGUUGACCCAUAUAGGAGUUAUUGCCUUAAUAUCAAUUUUAAACCAUUUUCGUAAAUCUAGUAACUUUUACAAAAUCUCUCCUCUGAAACUACUGGGCCAAUUAAUCCAAACUUAUCCACAAUCAUCUUUUGGGUAUCUAGUUAAAAAUGUGUCGAUGACCGGCAUCAACCAAGAUGGCCGCCAUGCUAAAAAUAGAAGAUAGGGGUAAAAUGCAGAUUUGCUUAUAACUCAAAACCAAAGCAUUAGAGCAAAUCUGACGGGGGAUAAAUUGUUUAUCAGGUCAAGAUCAUCUGCCCGAAAUUUUCAAUAAAUCGGACACCCGUUUUGGGUUCCUGCCCUGAAUGGUAAUUUUAAGAAAUUUUACUGUUUUUGUUAUUAUCUUGAAAAUAUUAUAGAUAAAAUAAACUGUAACAGCAAUAAUGUCAGCAAAGUAAGAUUUACAAAUAAGUCAACAUGACCGAAAUGGUCAUUGACCCCUAAGGAGUUAUUGUCCUUUAAGCAUUUCAACAAUUUUUAAAAAUUUGUAAUUUUUACUAACAUUUUCCACUGAAACUACGGCCAACUUCAUAUAGAUAGAGAUAUUGUAGCUGCAAGGAUGUUCAGUAAAGUAAAUGUACAAACACAUCACAUCACAAAUACAAUUUUGUCAUGAAUCCAUCUGCUUCCUUUGUUUAAUAGUCACAUAGACCAAGGUGAGCGACACAGGCUCUUUAGAGCCUCUAGUUCAUUUAGCUGAAGAUAAGUCACCUGGUGGAAGACAUUUGGAAAAAGUUAUUAGAUCUAACGCUAUUUUACAUGACAUCAACACAUUUGUGAAAAUUAUUUUCCAUCAGUUUUGAUUUGUUAAUACAUAAUGUAUGAUAGUAUAUCCUAUAAACAUUAAAAGAUCUUCCACCUUAUUUCACCAAGAUAUGUAGAUGGUUUUAGGGAUCCAAUAUUUUACAUCUAGACAACAUUGAGAAUCUUAAAGGCAUAAAAUAAAACCUUAUUAUUCUGUGUAACUUACUUGCAGACAGUGUAAAACACAAUUUUAAUCCUCAGCUACCACCUACUUUUUAUGAUUGUGUAUGUUGAAUUAUGUUGCUCUUAAAUGAAUAUAAAUGUUCUAAAGUGAGGUUGUCCAGCUGUUGGAAGUUCAAUAUAUUAAGCUUGUGCCCAUAUAUAUAUCCAAUUGGAGUUCCCACACUUCUUAAACAUAUACUAAAAGCUCUCAGCAAUUAGUUUUCUAAACAGUUAGAUCAUGCUUCUAUGCAUGAUAUAGGUUUUGAAUUGACUGCAGGUUUGGCUGGGAGUCUACAAAAAGUGUAUAAAUAGGACGACAAGACUUGUAAUCUUGUAAACUGUUUGUUACCUUGUUCUAAGGACAUGAAGGACGUCCAAAAAAUUUGCAGUGAUCAACCUGAACACAUAUGCCAGGAUAUUUGUGACUGGAUGACAAAUCAUUACCCAUACUUUUCGUUUAUAUUGUUUUUCAAGGUUUUCAAGUUGUUUAAGACCAUAGGAUAACCUAUAAUUCAUUUGAAGUCAUCUGAAGGCUAGUGGAUAUAAAAAAAGAAGAGUGUAUGAUUGCCCAAUGAAAACUGUCCACAAGAGACCAAUGACACAGACAUUAACAACUAUAGGUCACUGUACGGUGCUUCAAACAAUGAGGCCAAGCCCAUACCGCACAGUCAGCUAUAAAGGCCCCGAUAAGACAAUGUAAAACAAUUUCAAACGAGAAAAACUUAACAGCUUAUUUUUAAUAUAAAAAAAAUGAACGCAAAAAAAAUAUGUAACGACAUAAAAAACGAAAACCACUGAAUACAGGCCCUGACUUGGACAGGAGAUAAUAAGAAUGUGGCGGGUUAAACAUGUUUAGCGGGAUCCCAACCCUCCCUAACCUGGGACAGUGGUUAUAACAGUUACAACAUAAGAAGACUACGUAUAAAAUUCAGUUGAAAAAGGUUAACUCAUCAGAUGGACAAAAAUACAAGUGGACGUGGCCGGGUACUUCUACAACAUCCGACACAGAAGGACACAACAACAAAUCUGAGAGUACUCGCAUUUAUUGACAGCUAGUUCAAAAGCCACUAACAAUUAAUAAAAUCAUGCAUCUAAGCUUAACUUAUCAUCCGUACACAUCCAACAUCCAAUGGAUUAGUGUAAAGACGUCAUAAACAGCCAGAGAAAAACAUGACCUUGUGCAAUGCCAAGUUAAGGUAUCGACAGAGAACAAUAUAAAAUUGAUGCUACCAUUGUUUUUUAAUAUAUGAAUAGGGGAUUACCAAGUGUAUAAUUUAUACGAUGUUUAACUUGUUGAUUUCGAUUGAUUACGUUUUCCCAUGAGACCUAUUAUUUCGUUGUUUUUAUCAAUAAUAUUCAUGAUAUCAUAGAAGAAGUAGUAGAUAUUUUCCCUUGUCCAAGUAUAUUUUCAUUUAGACCCAGGGGAUAAGCUGUUUGAAGACUUUUAAUCCAAGACAGUUCGAUAAUUUUACGGAAGUCUUCAAACUGUUCAUGCGACUGCCCUUGUUGUUUCUUGACCGUUUUGAGCGGUUGAAAUCUAAUAAAUUUAAUAUUAUGGUUGUGUUUACCUGAAUGUUGAUAAAUUAUACUUUUGAAUUUCAUAUGUUUGUUAUCUCAUUGGCAAUGAUACCUUGUGUAUACAUUUUGUAGUUGUCGCAUUGACAGUCAUACCACAUCUCCUUAUUUUUAUGAUGAGUAAGACAUAUGCUUCACCAUCAUCAAAAGACAAAAUCUAGAGCAAAAUUGUUUAUCUAAAAAUUCUAUAUUUUACUGAUAAAUGUAAUUAGUUAGUGUUUUUUUGCAGUUUAUGAAGUUAACAACACACUCACAGCAGCAUGCAAUUUCAGAAAUAACAAGUGGUGCUUAUUUACAUUUUUUUCUUUGUUGACCAUUAUCUCUACCAUCGUUAAUAUUUCUUAAUUUUUGGAGGAGUUUCUUUGACUUCUUGUAAAUUUUUGGGACAUAUACCACUGAAGCCACAAAAAAAGAACAGAUUGAUUAUAGCCUAGAAAUGAAUGCUUGACACUAAGUCUUUGGGUUUAAUAAGAAUUAACAUUCACAAGACAUUUUUUUUAUACUAAUUACAAAGAAUGAGAUACAUGUAGUACUAUAACUAAAACUCUUAGAUAAUCUGUAUGAUAAAUCUGUUAAAAGCUAGUUGAUACUUUUAUAUUAUCUUUUAUUGUUGUAAAACUAUAUUUAAAUUGAAUAAAAAAAGCAACACAAUUACAAUUUUUUUUUUUUUUUUGGGAAGAGCGGAUGCUUACAUGACUUAUAUCAAUCUCAACAGCCAGGAGCCUGUAAUUUAGAGGUUGUUGUUGGUUGCUGACUAUCAUAAUUGUUUUUCAUUAUUAUUUUUUGGUUUAUACAUCAGGCUGUUAAAUUUUGCCUGUUGGAGCCUUUAAAAGCUUACUUACUAUACGAUAUGGGUUCCGUUCAUUGUUGGAAGCCUUACUGUGAUCUAUAAUUGCUUACAUAUACAUCAUUUGAUCUCUAUUGGGUAAUAUUUGUUGCAUGCAUGUUUAAGUUGUGAGCAAAUAGUAUCAUCCUAUUUUUUACAGGCCAUUCAUAGAUUGGGUGGAACACAAAUGAAGCUGGAGUGUGAUCAUCUGAAAACCAAAUCUCUAGAUCAAACCAGUCAAGAAGUAAUCAAGCAAUCUAAUGAGGAAAUUAAGGUGCUGAAGGAAUCUUAUAAAUUGUUACAGGAAGACCAUAGGAAAGUGACAAAAGAAAUGGAAAUUUUGAAAAGUACCUUGAAUGAUACAGUACCAUGGAAUAUCAGAG
rnacentral:lncRNA from 1 species